UACGGGGGGAGCAAGCGUUGUUCGGAUUUACUGGGCGUAAGGGGCGCGUAGGCGGCCACCGCAAGUCGACUGGGAAAUCUCCGGGCUUAACCCGGAACGGUCAGCCGAUACUGCGGGGCUAGAGUGCAGAAGGGGCAACUGGAAUUCUCGGUGUAGCGGUGAAAUGCGUAGAUAUGCGGAGGAACACCGAUGGCGAAGGCAAUCCCCUGGGCCUGCACUGACGCUCAUGCACGAAAGCGUGGGGAGCAAACAGG
rnacentral:rRNA from 1 species